UCCCCAGUAAAAAGUCCAUUUUACUUCUUAACUAUUUAUCCUCUUAUCCUCCUUUUUUUUCAUAAGCGGUUCAAAGAAAAUGCAAUAUUUUUCUCAUGCAUUCUAUUCUUUCACAAAUGGAUCCGAACAGAAAUCUUUUGAUCUUAUACCAUUUAGUUUGAAUAAAUAGGAUACCCGUACAAAUGAACAUAUAUGGUCGAGGACUUCCCAUUAUUGAAUCAUUCACCGUCCAUAUUAUUUUCCUUGCAUUCACAAAGAAAGUCUUCUUUUUGAAAAUCAAAAAAAUUCUGGGACGAGGUAAAAAAUUUGAAUACUUUUUUUGAGUGUAUUUCAUUUACAUAGAUACAAGUAUUCUACGAGGAUGAUGCGCGGGAAAUGGUCGGGAUAGCUCAGUUGGUAGAGCAGAGGACUGAAAAUCCUCGUGUCA
rnacentral:misc_RNA from 1 species